rnacentral:rRNA from 1 species
CGGCUUACCAAGGCGACGAUACGUAGCCGACCUGAGAGGGUGAUCGGCCACACUGGAACUGAGACACGGUCCAGACUCCUACGGGAGGCAGCAGUAGGGAAUCUUCCGCAAUGGGCGAAAGCCUGACGGAGCAACGCCGCGUGAGUGAUGAAGGUCUUCGGAUCGUAAAACUCUGUUAUUAGGGAAGAACAUACGUGUAAGUAACUGUGCACGUCUUGACGGUA